rnacentral:rRNA from 1 species
CCUACGGGUGGCAGCAGUGGGGGAUAUUGGACAAUGGGGGAAACCCUGAUCCAGCGACGCCGCGUGAGUGAAGAAGUAUUUCGGUAUGUAAAGCUCUGUCAGCAGGGAAGAAAGAAAUGACGGUACCUGACCAAGAAGCCCCGGCUAACUCCGUGCCAGCAGCCGCGGUAAUACGUAGGGGGCAAGCGUUAUCCGGAAUUACUGGGUGUAAAGGGAGCGUAGACGGGGAUGCAAGUCUGGAGUGAAAGGCGGGGGGCCAACCCCCGGACUGCUCUGGAAACUGUGGAACUUGAGUGCAGGAGAGGUAAGCGGAAUGCCUAGUGUAGCGGUGAAAUGCGUAGAGAUUAGGAGGAACACCAGUGGCGAAGGCGGCUUACUGGACUGUAACUGACGUUGAGGCUCGAAAGCGUGGGGAGCAAACAGGAUUAGAUACCCCUGUAGUC